UACAAGUCUGUCCACCUCCCUGCAGCCUGAGUGCCGUCUGUGUUAAUGAAGAUGCAAGGCUAUAGGCCUCCCUUGUCCUGUGCUUCUAGCCUACUCAUUUCUAACUGUUUUCCGACAUAGAUCUCCUAAAAAAGUGAUGGAAGAGACCUGGCCCAGGCCUUCUAUUUGAAACCAAACUAGUGAGGAAGAAGUUCUUGGAAGGCAAAUAAUUUCACAUCUAGAAUAGAUAAUUCGAUAUCUCUAAUUCAAGUCUGGAGGCUCAAGUAAAGAAACAAGCUUUCUGUUCCCUGUCUUCUGUGCAGUCAUGCAAUGAACAGGGACAGUUUGGUACUUCAUGCUUAUGACCUGUCGUAAUUUCUGUCAGCUGCUGCUUGUGUGUAUCAUGUGGAGCAGAACCAGUGAUUUCAGCGAACGAUGUGAAUACAAGAUACACCUUCACAUUGCUAGCCCCACCAAUCUCAUGGUUUCCUUCCAGCCCUUGGGUACAUGAAAUGUUUUGGCCUAAUGAAGCACUCUGAUCUUAAAAUCACUCCGAUCUCACUGAUCUCCUGUAGCAGCAGGUAAUAUCUAAAAGCAUAAUGUGCCUGCAGAGGCUCCUUGUCUCAUUUGGGUUAAUAGUUAAAAAUUCAUGGUUGUUUUUCAAAACCAAAAUUGUCUUUCUCUCUGCAAAUGAUUCCCCUUUUGAUUCAAAAUCAAACCUUUGUCUAGACUCAGCAGACUCUGGGCUAAUAGCUCUGGCAGGCAGAGAUACCAACAGUUGAUCAAGAUCCACACUUUCUACCCCAAACUCACUCAUCUCAAUUUCCUGAGGUGGUUUUUGUGUUCUUUUUUACAGCAGCAGAAGAGUGUUUAGCUAAUUGGGUUAAGGAGCCUUAGAUGUUACUUGGCUCUCUGCAGAGUGUUUCUUUUUUAGUGAUGCCAAUUUCCUUAACAAAUGUAUUUUAUUGUGUGGCGCAUUUGAUCCUCGUAUCCGGAACUGUACGCGAAUCCUGAACCACCCCAGAGUCUUCUUUACAGCUGCCACGGCCCUGACUGCAGCGCUGCAGAAGGCUCCUUCCACUUCAGAGGUGCACCUUGGAAUUCAGAGGCUGACUUCUAAAUGCAAUGGGAAUAUAAAUAAAGGCACAAGAGUGGGAAGGCAGCGCGUGCUGUGCUGAAAGGUGGCCACGUCCAGCACAGACACAGCUGGGGUGUCAACCCGUGCACUGCUGACCAGGAGAACAGCCCUGCAGAAGCUUUCUGGCUGCAGCCUUAGCCGGCAGCUGGCUCAGGCCCGCCAACAUUCCAAGGGCCGUUCUGGCAUUUCAGCCUUGCAGUAUUGAAAACCACAAGCCUUUGAAAACAUGAAUCAGCCCUUCCGAAACUGAGAGCGUCUUAAAAAUGUCUUGUGGAAUCACAUGGCCAGCACCGACUCCGUGAGGGGAAGUUUGAAAUGGAACUCUUGGCUGUCUCCACUGACUCUGAGGUGCAACUUUGGAAUCAAGGAAGAACAUCCCACAAUUCUGUUUGACAAAUUGCAUUAGCAUUCUUCUCCUGGUCAAUGUGGAGCAGCUGUGGGAAGGCAUCAGAGGACUAUCAGCACCUGAAGGAUCUUUGCUUCACUCUCAAACCAGAAUGGACUCAUUCUAUGAUGAGUGGAAACGUUGUUGAGCUUCUAUGAUUUCCUCUCAAUCAGUAACAAAGGUCAUCGUUACCCUCGUGGAAAACAAACACCGCCAGCCAAACUGGAAAACUGGACACAAGCUCAGAAUUCAUUCCCUGCACUUUGCUGUUCCUUCUCAUGGCUCUGAAUGGAGAGGAAGCUGGAGAUUUUCUUUAAAGACAACCCU